AGCCUUGCCAUAUGGUACAAAAGAAAAUCUAUUUUUCAGGGGGAGCGUCCAAGCAGGCUUCAAAGGAAUCACUUGCUAGAGUGAUUAGCUACCUAAAAGAAAGCCAGAAGUGAAUAGCCAAGACAAUGGGAAGAAGUCCUCAAUGAUACUUUAGGGAUUGCUAAGGCAGCUCAGGAGGAAAGGAUGGCUUCAGGGGCCAGGCUCAGACCACUGCUCAGCCUCAGGAAACUGUUCUCUGCGUCCUGGCCACUCCAUCUCCAGCUUUGUCUCAAAGGAACCAGGUUUGCCCAGUGUAAUUAA
rnacentral:lncRNA from 1 species